rnacentral:rRNA from 1 species
CCUACGGGUGGCAGCAGUGGGGAAUAUUGCACAAUGGGGGAAACCCUGAUGCAGCGACGCCGCGUGAGUGAAGAAGGAUUUCGGUAUGUUAAGCUCUAUUAGUCGGGAAGAAAAUGACGGUACCUGACUAAGAAUCCCCGUCUAACUACGUGCCAGCAGCCGCAGUAAUACGUAGGGGGCAAGCGUUAUCCGGAUUUAAUGGGUGUAAAGGGAGCGUAGACGGUGAUGCAAGUCAGCAGUGAAAGGCCGGGGCUAAACCCCGGGACUGCGUUUGAAACUGUGUGACUGGAGUGCAGGAGAGGUAAGCGGAAUGCCUGGUGUAGCGGUGAAAUGCGUAGAUAUCAGGAGGAACACCAGUGGCGAAGGCGGCUUACUGGACUGUAACUGACGCUGAGGCUCGAAAGCGUGGGGAGCAAACAGGAUUAGAUACCCGUGUAGUC